rnacentral:rRNA from 1 species
UACGUAGGGGGCAAGCGUUGUCUGGAAUUAUUGGGCGUAAAGCGCGUGUAGGCGGCUCGGUAAGUCUGCUGUGAAAGUCCAGGGCUCAACCCUGGAAUGCCGGUGGAUACUGUCGAGCUCGAGUCCGGAAGAGGCGAGUGGAAUUCCUGGUGUAGCGGUGAAAUGCGCAGAUAUCAGGAGGAACACCAAUGGCGAAGGCAGCUCGCUGGGACGGUACUGACGCUGAGACGCGAAAGCGUGGGGAGCAAACAGG